rnacentral:rRNA from 1 species
GAGGAGCGCGUUCGUAGGAGAGGAGGAUGGGAGCGUGCGCGAUCCCAAGGACGCGACGGCGGUGUGCCCUCGAACAGCUGGUCGGGUCGCAGGAGGCCUAGCGGCGGCGGGGAGUGGACUAGCGGCGGCGGGGAGUGGACUAGCGGCGGCAGUGGCGGGGCCUAGCGGUGGAAGCGAAAGCCUUAGCGACGUUUGCAGAGCAGCGGGGCCUAGCGGCGAUAGUGGCCCGGUACCGCCACCUCCAGCUGCUGUGAGCCUUCGUGUCCCACCGCCGAAAGGACCUGCUGGGGAAGGUCCACUACGUCCGCUUCGCCCCGGCCACGAGUGGCAGGCGGUGGCGCCUGAGCCAGCGGCUGGAGCCGUAGUUGUACCUCAAGCUGGGGCAGCUCCGCCAGGUCAAGCAGAAGGGGCCGCGGCUAGGCGUCGAAGGCGCCCCGAUAGAGCUUCGCAGCCCUUUACAGAACCUACGACGGUAGUCUUCGAAGUCCCUAAUAAACCGUAGCCUAAGUCGUUGCUGGUUACGACCACGGAGGAGUAGACCUCACCGUAGACUACACGGCCACUACUUAUGAGGUCGGUUGUCCUAACUUACCCAUCUCGAUUAACAGUUCCUCUACAGCAGGCGAAGUCUAGACUUAGUGCGGUCCUUAGCUCAGAAGUCCUAUGAACUUUACAAGCUGUUUACACGACGUUUGAUGUCAUGAGGACUACUCCGCGUAUUUUACGCACUCUACUUCCCGUGCUGCCUACCGCGGCCGCCCUUCCACUCGUCGCCACCUCUAUUCGUUCCUUUCCUCAUCACACUCCGCCAACCGCCACAACUUCUCCUACUCUCCCGGCGUGUGAGCCACGGUACGAUGACCUCCCGGGCGACGACCUCCUGCAGGAUCCCUAAAAACCUAGUUACUGUCAUUGUAACCGCUGUGUAUAGAAGAAGGUAGAGACCUAGGACUUAGAUGUCAAGACAUUAGUAGUUUAUGUGCGUCAUCACUACCAUGUUAACGUACCAACACUGACGGCUGGUCAUGUGCUCACCCCGACGGCAAGAGGAUGGCCAUUAGUCGACGAGGUCACGGUGGCGUAUAUAUGAGGCUACUCAUAGGAACUAUAGAAGGGAGGUGUAACGUAGAUUACUGUGUGAAGGUGUAACGUAGACUACUGUGUGAAGGUUGACCUUAUAUAGUUAAUGUAUGGUACCAGUAUUCACAGUGUGAAGGUUGAAUCCUGUACAGUACUACUACACGAAAAACCAAUAGGAUCCUGAAUGUUUUUGUACAGUAGACUAGACAAGGGGAAGCCAUGUAAUCUACAAUAUCCAGUAAACAACUCGCCAAUAUUACUGAAGAAGAAACCCAUUCAGAUACGAUUUUAUAUACGUCUAAAGGAGAGUUUUGAUAGAUGGUCAGUAUAACAAUUCCCUCCUAGGUUAGAUAAUGAAACUUAAAUUCGAUAGUGUAAAUAGUAUAUCAUAAAUUAUAACCAUCUUCUAAUUUAAUAACUGUACUGAAAUUAACUUUUAAAAUCCACUUUAAACUUUGAAGGGAACUCUCUACGAUUUCAUGAUAAAUAAACUGGCCAAACCACAUGUAACUGGAAAUGGCGGACUUACAAUACUUAAUAUAAGCACCACCUACUAUACUUACAACCCCUCCACUACCUCUUCAUACCGUUCCUUGAACACUUCCGACUCCCGUACCUCUUCUUCCCCUCUUAGAUUCACCCUCCGACUGUAAUCGCUUCCUCUUCCGAUCUACUCACAACCGUAACCGGCUGUUACCCAGUAACGUCUACCGUAAGUGACUUAAUGAGUUCCUUAACUUCGAGGGUUUUACUAGUUUAUUUAUUCUAUCGUUACUCUGUAUCUUACAACACAAUAAUUAAUAGAAACAGGAGUUUUUCCUACAGCACUAUCAUCAGCACGAAACGGAUAUUCAACGAAGUUGUUGAUAUAAGAACUUUACUACACGGUAUCCAUCCACCUUUUUGAUUCUUUAUGUUCGUAAGGAGACACACACACUCUCUCACGAGAUGUGCGACGGAAAUACCUAAUUUGGCCACGAGAUUAAUUUACUAUUUAACUCACAUGAAAAAAAAGAAACUGGUAAUAUACUUUUUUACUUACUUUUACACUCAUGAUAGGUCUAAUAGGUACUUGACGGGACUGUAUACGAUAUUUCUCUAACACACUUUUGUUUCGACUUCAACAACGGGUCCUACUCUUCCUUUCACCAGAAGGUCGUUGUGAUUUGUACCAGUACAUAAUGUGUAUGUGUACUACUACAUACAUUACGCAGGUUAGUAACAACAAAAAUACAGUUCAAGUAAACAGAACGUAAUAACAAAACUUAGUCUUACUAGCUUAGGAAACUAGCUACCAAUGUCCGGGGGAAAAUAUAGAGGUCUUCUCUGUGCUGCUAAGGAGUUCCUCCGCGGCCAAGGUCCUCUAGCUUCCCUCUGCAGCCAACACCCUGUUUGGCGUUACUACCAAAACCCGUUCCCCUCUAAAAAGGGGUUAAUGUCUUAAUAAAAAUUGUGGGGGGGAUUAGAUACGAACGGGUACAUCUAGUAGAAGUGCUAACAGGCCCUUCGAGAUAGUAGAAUUUACUAAGAGGAAGUUUUCAAGAAGUAUUUUAGAAACUACUCUAGGACUUUGUAUAUGAGUGUUUCUUUCUAUCGUAUUACACUACAGUAAUUUUACUCCUAUAGAGUUCUUCUCUGAGGGGGACUGUGGACGUUCAGGGAUUCAGAAGCGUAUGGUUAAGGUACUUGUGUAAAAACCUUACAUCUUAACCAUCUCUGAACCAUUUAUUUAGUCGUUCCAACAACGUACUAAACUGAACGUCUUACGAAUAAAGGAGCGAAAAGACUUCUAA